rnacentral:rRNA from 1 species
GACGAACGCUGGCGGCGUGCUUAACACAUGCAAGUCGAACGGAAAGGCCUGCUUUCCCUUGUGGAUUGCGGGUACUCGAGUGGCGAACGGGUGAGUAACACGUGAGUGAUCUGCCCCCAACUUGGGUAUAAGCCUGGGAAACUGGGUCUAAUUCCCGAUAGGACUGCAGGGUGGUGCCUGUGGUGGAAAACGAUUUUCUAGUGGUUGGGGAUGAGCUCGCGGCCUAUCAGCUUGUUGGUGGGGUAAUGGCCUACCAAGGCGGCGACGGGUAGCCGGCCUGAGAGGGUGGACGGCCACAUUUGGACUGAGAUACGGCCCAGACGCCUACGGGAGGCAGCAGUGGGGAAUAUUGCACAAUGGGCGGAAGCCUGAUGCAGCGACGCCGCGUGGGGGAUGACGGCCUUCGGGUUGUAAACUCCUUUCGACCGCGAGGAAGCCACCUGGUUGGAAGGGUGGUGACGGUAGUGGUAGAAGAAGCACCGGCUAACUACGUG